GAUGAACGCUGGCGGCGUGCUUAACACAUGCAAGUCGAACGGAGUUUAGAUGAAAGCUUGCUUUUGACUAAACUUAGUGGCGGACGGGUGAGUAACGCGUGGGUAACCUGCCUUAUACCGGGGGACAACAGCUGGAAACGGCUGCUAAUACCGCAUAAGCGCACGAGGAGGCAUCUCCUAGUGUGAAAAACUCCGGUGGUAUAAGAUGGACCCGCGUCUGAUUAGCCAGUUGGCGGUGUAACGGACCACCAAAGCGACGAUCAGUAGCCGGCCUGAGAGGGCAAACGGCCACAUUGGGACUGAGACACGGCCCAAACUCC
rnacentral:rRNA from 1 species